rnacentral:rRNA from 1 species
CCCAUAACUCAGGGAUAGCCUUUCGAAAGAAAGAUUAAUACCUGAUAGUACUUUUUCAAGGCAUCUUAGAAAAAGUUAAAGAUUUAUUGGUUAUGGAUGGGGAUGCGUUCCAUUAGAUAGUUGGUGAGGUAACGGCUCACCAAGUCUUCGAUGGAUAGGGGUUCUGAGAGGAAGGUCCCCCACAUUGGUACUGAGACACGGACCAAACUCCUACGGGAGGCAGCAGUGAGGAAUAUUGGUCAAGUGGGCGAGAGCCUGAACCAGCCAAGUAGCGUGAAGGAUAGAAGGUCCUAUGGAUUGUAAACUUCUUUUAUAGUAGAAUAAAGUGAUCCACGUGUGGAUUUUUGUAUGUAUACUAUGAAUAAGGAUCGGCUAACUCCGUGCCAGCAGCCGC